rnacentral:piRNA from 1 species
UAAGAGAUAAGAUGUAACUGUCUGUCUUCA